GAGGAAGGAUCUCUGUCUGGAGAUCAUCCCUCUUGGAGCCCUUCUGCAAGCCGAGGAUGCAGAUUAAUAAGCCUCGUUAUUGAGUGUAUUGGACAAGUUCAGAAGACCCUGCAUGUGACAACAACAUUAGUAACACCAAAAAGAGUCUCAUGGAGAGCUUCCUGAGCAGUGAUGGAAGAAAGGGUGAAUGCUUCUGACAGCAAGUGACUGCAGUGUAUGUUAGAGGCUUGAUGGAGCAAGCGAGGCUACAAAUGAAGUGGUACAGGAAGAGAAAUGGACAUGGCACGUGGCAGAUAAAGAUGUAAGUGGGUCAAGCAUCAGUAUCUCAGGACGGUAGUGACAUUUUGGCCUGCACAUCAAAGCACAAAUCAUUUUGUUUAAGCACAUUAAACACAGUGGCUGGCUACUAGCAAAGCCCUUGAAUAAAGAUCAUGAGGUAUUCAGCAAUGGAAUCUUAGUAUUUGCUCUACAAGGUUAAUUAAUAUCUUCAUCAAGGUGGUUGUGUAAUACCAUUCACCUGACUGCAAGAGUGUCAGAAGACUGUACUAAGCUAUAUCUGCUUAUGUUAGAUCAAGAAUAUUUUGGCUUUGUUUUAAAUAGCAAGCAUUAAAGAACCAUACAUAAUAGCAAGUAG
ensembl:lncRNA